UACGUAGGGGGCAAGCGUUGUCCGGAUUUAUUGGGCGUAAAGAGCGUGUAGGCGGCCAGGGAGGUCCGUUGUGAAAACUCGAGGCUCAACCUCGAGACGUCGGUUGAAACCGUAAGGCUAGAGUCCGGAAGAGGAGAGUGGAAUUCCCGGUGUAGCGGUGAAAUGCGCAGAUAUCGGGAAGAACACCCGUGGCGAAGGCGGCUCUCUGGGACGGUACUGACGCUGAGACGCGAAAGCGUGGGGAGCGAACAGG
rnacentral:rRNA from 1 species